rnacentral:lncRNA from 12 species
CACGCGCUCUGCUAGGAAGCGGGAGAGAAGGGGAAAGAUGCGGGAGCAGCCCUCCGGGGGGAGAGAAUCUGCGGUGGGCGCAGGCCGGGGGAGCGGGCCCGGCGGGCGGGAGGGGGCUCCUCUGGUCCCCAGGGACCGUCUCCCGUCUCUGCACGCCUGUCUCCCCGCGGUGACCCCGCGCUGGGAGGGAUGCUCGGGGAAGCCUCCAGAGGCCGGAGGGUGCAGCGGGGCUCACGCGGGACUCGGUGAGCAGGAGGGGACACCCGCAGCCCUCCUCCCGCCUCGUGGGCUGGGACACAGCGGAGGCCGACACCCCUCGGGUCUCGUGCCAGGUGAUUACCCAGCGCACCCCCGGCGAUUUCCUCUCCUCCCCCGGGCAGUGCCUGCGGCGCGUUCCCUGAUUCGGCCCGGGCUGCGCAGUCGGCGCCGGGCAACCUGCGGGGGCCGCGUCUUCGUGCGCAGGUGCCCGGGACCCUGCAAGCUCUCUCGCUCAGGCGUGCAUGGGAGGAAGUCCAGAGCAAUGUGUGGGAAGGUGCGAACGCGAGGUGGUAAGAAGGACUCUGUCCUGUCAGGGUCUUUGCUUUCGUGCUCUAUGGUCCUUUUCUUGAAGACAGCGGAAGGAGGCCCUGCUCCUCUGGGGUCUGAGAACAAAACCACAAAGGCACCUCCUCUCCCCACUGUGCCCCCCACCCCAUCACCAAAUCCUGAGAUGCCUUAUCCUGAGAGGGAGCUUGGGUGA